rnacentral:rRNA from 1 species
GCAAGUCGAACGCGAAAGGGACUUCGGUCCUGAGUAAAGUGGCGCACGGGUGAGUAACGCGUAGAUAACCUGUCUUCAUGUCUGGAAUAAUACGCCGAAAGGGGUACUAAUACCGGAUAUUCUUGCUUUUCAUAAGUUAUGCAAGCAAAGGUGGCCUCUGCAUAUGCUACUGCAUGAAGAGGGGUCUGCGUACCAUUAGCUAGUAGGUGGGGUAAUGGCCUACCUAGGCGACGAUGGUUAGCGGGUCUGAGAGGAUGAUCCGCCACACUGGCACUGGAACACGGGCCAGACUCCUACGGGAGGCAGCAGUGAGGAAUAUUGCGCAAUGGGGGAAACCCUGACGCAGCGACGCCGCGUGAGUGGAAGGAAGGCCUUCGGGUCGUAAAGCUCUGUCAAGAGGAAAGAAGUGUACAAUGGCUAAUACCUGUUGUAUUUGACGGUACCUCUAAAGGAAGCACCGGCUAACUCCGUGCCAGCCGCUGC